GAUGAAGAACGCAGCGAAAUGCGAUAAGUAAUGUUAAUUGCAGAAUUCAGUGAAUCAUCGAAUCUUUGAACGCACCUUGCACCCUUUGGCAUUCCGAAGGGUAUGCUCGUUUGAGUGUCAUUGUACUCUCACACUCUCCGAUCCUAUGGAUUCGGGGAGCGGUGGACUUGGGUGUUGCUGCCUUUCCCUGUGGCUCACCUCAAAUGCGUCAGUGCACCUCUUGGUUGGACAUAGUACGGCGUGAUAAGUGUCUUCGCCGGCACCUCGCAAGAGGGUGGCCGAUCGGGAGCUCUGCGCUUUCAAACCGUCUUCGGACAAUUUCUGACAUCUUGACCUCAAAUCGAGUAGGACUACCCGCUGAACUUAAGCAUAUCAAUAAGCGGAGGA
rnacentral:misc_RNA from 1 species